GGAAAGAAUUUCAAGCACAAAGCUAUCAAGGUCCCAACGAAGUCCCACAGCCUCAAUUGGAUCAUUAGGGGAGUUAGAGUCUGCUAAAGGCUCAACAAAAUAUCGAUCAAGAGGUAGCCGGUAGCUAGGUCGAGGUGUCCUUGUAGAUUCGUAUCUUUGGUAGGCAUCAAUGGCAUUCAGUAGCUACACAUUCACUAUGGUCACUCUGUUGGAAAUCCAGACUCAUUUUGUUGUAAAUAUGUACAAGUGAUGUAAAUUAUUAGAUUGCACGUUUAGACAAUAUAUAUACAUUUUUAUUGGUAUGCCACUAUGGGUUGGCAAUACUUAGUAUUAUUUUGAUUCAAAGUUAUGGAAUGUACUUAGUAACGUUUGAUGGAAUGGUGAACAGGUCAUAUAAAUAGGCUUGCUUGGACUUAGUGGACUACGUCCAUUGGGCCCAUGUGCCGGUUAUAGCCCCAAAUUUCGAUCGUGACAAUUUAACCCCUAUUAGUAGGGUCGGAACAUAU